rnacentral:misc_RNA from 1 species
CUUCCCUUCCCAACACACACGACUUCACCUGAACCAAUUCCGAUCAGAUUCUUUCGUUCUUCUACAUUUGUUUGUUGCUGGGUUGGUUGGUUGUUAUUGUUACAGCGAAAGAGAAAACUUUGUUUAUCCACUCAUAGAUAACACUCGUAUGAAAGUCAGCAUAUCAAGCGUAUUGUUUUGACCAGAUGAAAUAUUGUGACAAUGAACUAGAAAGAUCUAAAAAAAAAAAAUGAUUUUUUUUUUAUUUGAUUCCACUACACUCUUAUUAGCAGAAGCACCACUGAAACCUGGGAUUUUAGAUUUGUGCUGAAUGAGUUACUUCCCUUCAAGUUAACUUAUGUUUGGUUGUUUCUCGGUGCAUUUUAAACAGCCUAAGACUAUCCAAGUCGAUAAAAUGACAAAUUAAAGUUGGGUUUUUUUUAUCCAGUAUGCAGGCAAUAUAUUGCAACUGAGAAAUGCCAGUUGUGUCAAGGAAGUAUGUAUAAUAGGUUUUUAAUCUAUUGUAAAAUAUUUCAAAUCUGAGAUGAUAUAUUCAUUUGGUUUCAGGUAUUUGUUUUAACAAAAGCAAGAAAGAAAAACAAGCAACUCACUGCUUUAGUGAUCGAAAUAUCUGAGAAGUCCAUUGAAUAAAGUUUGUGUAAUGUUCUAGAACAAAUUUGAUGGCCAUCAUGGAAGAAAAUGUUAGUAUUGAAGACAAAACUGAUACAAAACCAAUAUUGUAUGAUGGAAUAGUUUCAGCUCUUUCUGAGCCAAACCACUGUGCCAAAACCUUGUUUGAUACUAGUGAUGUAAAACCAGACAUUUGUAAAAUAUCAUCCACUACUCAAAGUUUCAAAGUGAAAUCACAUACUAAAAAUCACCAGAAUAAUGAGAAACGUUUUUUUUGCAAGAUAUGUGAUAAAAACUGUUCCACAUCAUCUGGACUAAAAAUUCAUUUAAGGAAACACACAGGUGAGAAGCCGUUCCAUUGCCUGAUUUGUGAGAAAAGCUUUGCAACAAGUUUUGUUUUGAAGAAACAUAUCAGGACCCACACUGGAGAAAAGCCAUUCCACUGUGAGGUAUGCAGCAAAAACUUUUCCACACGAUCAGGUCUCAAAGAACACCAUAGAACUCAUACAGGAGAAAGACCCUACCAUUGUGAUGUGUGUGGGAAAAACUUCUCACACCAUUAUACAUUGAAAGUACAUUUAAGUUCACACAGCGGGGAGAAACUAUUUCAGUGCAACCUCUGUGGUAAGAGAUUUUCAACUAAUUCCAAACUAAAGAUGCAUAUUCGAAUCCACACAGGAGAGAAACCUUAUUCUUGCAGUUUGUGUGGUCACGGUUUCUCUACUAAUUCUAAGUUAAAGGUUCAUGUAAGAACUCACACUGGAGAGAAACCAUUCCAGUGUGAGAUAUGUGGCAGAAAUGUUUCUACCAAUUCUGAGUUGAAAAAACAUGCAAGAAUACACAGUGGUGAGAAACCAUUUCAUUGUGAGGUAUGUAGUAAGAAUUUCUUAUCCAGUUCUGAACUCAAAGUUCAUACAAGGACUCAUACUGGAGAGAAACCAUUUCAUUGUGAAAUAUGUAGUAAAGAUGUCUCCACUAGCUCAGGACUAAGGGAACAUAUGAAAACCCAUACAGGUGAGAAACCGUUUCAUUGUGAGGUGUGUGGUAAAAGUUUUUCUCAACGCUUUAAACUGAAAUUGCACUCAGCUACACAUACUGGUGAGAAAUUCUUCCCUUGUAGUGUAUGUGACAGAAAAUUCUCAACUAAUUUUGAUCUGAAAAUGCAUACAAGGAUUCAUACUGGCGAAAAACCUUUUUGCUGUGAGGUGUGUGGUAAAGGCUUUUCAGCUAGGUAUAAAGUGAAAGUACAUUCUAGAAUUCAUACUGGAGAGAAACCAUUCCAUUGUGAAAUCUGUGGUAAAAAUGUUUCCACUAGUUCCGAACUGAAAGUACAUAUCAGGAGACACACGGGAGAGAAGCCUUUCCAUUGUGAUGUGUGUGGUAAAGAUUUUUCAAUUAGUUCAGAACUGAAGGUGCAUAAGCGAACUCAUAGUGGAGAAAAACCAUUCAUUUGUGAAAUAUGCACGAAAAGCUUUUCUACGAGUUGUGGCUUAAAGGUACACAUCAGAACUCAUACAGGAGAAAGACCGUUUCAUUGUGAUAUCUGUAGUAAAGGUUUCUCCUUGUGUUCGUAUCUGAAAAAACAUGCUAAAACCCAUACAGGGGAAAAACCAUUUCAUUGUGAUAUUUGUGGUAAAAAAUUCUCCUCAAACAUUGGACUAAAGGGACAUGCUAGACUUCACAGCGGAGAAAAGCCUUUUUACUGUGAUACAUGUGACAAGAGGUUUUCUUAUUAUAAUUCAUUACAGAUACAUAUGAAGAGACAUGCUGCUGUUAUUAACAAUACUUCAUGAUUGUAUCUGUUGUCUGUCUUGAUUGAUUUUUACAACAAUCUUAAUAGAAAUGUAGGAAAGAAUGAAAAUUUUCUUCUAUAUUUUUUUAUUUAAGUUAAUAAUAUGGUGACAUUACCUUCCCUUUUAUGGAUCAUGUUACUUUCUUAUUGUUUUCAUUGUAUCUACCUCAUUUAGUUCUUUGACCUAUAUUUUCUUGUAUGUAUCUUAUUUUGUUGACUGUACUGGGCCACAUUUCAAGUUAAGUAAUACACACAUUAGUUACUGAGUAGUUCACCCUGUUAUUGAAACAGUGAGCUGCAUCAAGUCAUAGCACCUAUUAUAAUUGUUGCUAUGCAAUUCCACUCUUUUAUUAUAUUAUCCCAGUUAACUCUGCUUUAGGACACAUAUUUACAUAACUUACAACACAGUGGUAGCCUCGCAUGUUUCACAAUAAUUUUUUUCAGACUUUUGCACAUUUCUCUACACUAGAACCUUACUAUACACUUUGUCAUAUAGUGUGGUACCUCCUUUACGACUAGGUGAACUGGGGCUGUAAGACACACCCCGCCUUAUCUCAUUUCAACUAGAUGGACUGCACUUCCACAUGGUACCUAUUUACAUUUAGGUUGACUGUACCUUCCUAUUGUAACUGUUUCAAAGCCAGAUGAACUGGUAACUUGACGUGGUACCCCAUUUGAAGUUAAAUGGACUGGGCCAGCAGAAUUUCUUGAAUUGGUGACUCGAUACAGCACUGGUACUUGUAUUUCUUCAAUAGAUGCCUUCCCCACUGAGCAUCCAAGGGGCAGAGGUUAGGUCAGCUAGUUUUAUUACAUUCUAGCAAUCAACAUGAAGUCACUAUUAACGAACUGCAGUCAUGUAUUCAGUUACCCACCAACAACAACAGAGGCCUGCCAUGGAGUGUUGCAUUCAUGGCAGCAUGGAUGAAGACUUUUGUUGGAAUGUUGACUUUAAUAGACAAUGACAAUGAAUUUUCACUACAAACAGAU